GCUGGGUGUGGUGAUGCACACCUGUAAUCCCAGUGGUUUGGGAGGCUGAGGCAGGAGGAUGACAUGUUCAAAGCCAGCUUCAGCAAUUUAGUGAGGCCCUAAGAAACUUAGCGAGACCCUGUCUCUA
rnacentral:sRNA from 1 species